AGAGCAUAGGGCGAAUGCCUUGGCACCAAGAGCCGACGAAGGACGGGAUAAGCACCGAAAUGCUACGGGGAGUCGCAAAUAGACAUCGAUCCGUAGAUAUCCGAAUGGGGGAACCCACUUGAGCAACCCUCAAGUACUCAUAACCCAAUAAAAUAAGUUAUGAGAGGUAUACCAGGGGAACUGAAACAUCUAAGUACCCUGAGGAAGAGAAAGAAACAUCGAUUUCCAAAGUAGCGGCGAGCGAAAUGGAAAGAGCCCAAACCUGAUUUAUCAGGGGUUGAGGACACAGCAAAGGACUGUAUCAUUCAUAGCCGAAGAAAGCUGGGAAGCUUUGCGAAACAAGGUGAUAGCCCUGUAGGCGAAAUGAAAGAUACACAGGCUGUGCUCCAGAGUACCACGGGACACGAGAAAUCCCGUGGGAAGCAGGGAGGCCCACCUCCCAAGGCUAAAUACUACUUGGUGACCGAUAGUGAACAGUACCGUGAGGGAAAGGCGAAAAGAACCCCGGGAGGGGAGUGAAAUAGAACCUGAAACCCUAUGCUUACAAGCAGUGGAAGCACGUUAAAAGUGUGACCGCGUACUUUUUGUAGAACGGGCCAGCGAGUUAUGAUAUGCAGCGAGGUUAAGUAAUUAAGUUACGGAGCCGCAGGGAAACCGAGUCUUAACAGGGCGAAACUAGUUGCAUGUCAUAGACCCGAAACCGGGUGACCUAUCCAUGGGCAGAGUGAAGUUUUAGUAAAAUAAAAUGGAGGCUCGAACCCGGUAGCGUUUAAAAGCUAUGGGAUGACCUGUGGAUAGGGGUGAAAAGCCAAUCGAACUCGGAGAUAGCUGGUUCUCCUCGAAAUAGCUUUAGGGCUAGCCUCAAGAGAGCAUGAGAUGGAGGUAGAGCACUGAAUGGUCUAGGGGCACAUAGUGUUACCAAAACCUAUCAAACUCCGAAUGCCAUCCUCAUAAGCUUGGGAGUCAGACUGUGGGGGAUAAGCUUCAUAGUCAAAAGGGAAAGAGCCCAGAUCACCAGCUAAGGUCCCAAAAUUCUGAUUAAGUGGUAAAGGAUGUGAGGUUUCACAGACAACCAGGAUGUUGGCUUAGAAGCAGCCAUACAUUUAAAGAGUGCGUAAUAGCUCACUGGUCGAGAGACCUUGCGCCGAAGAUUUCCGGGGCUAAAAUCAGAUACCGAAGCUGUGGGAUUACGUAGUAAUCGGUAGAGGAGCAUUGUGUAAGGGACGAAGGUGUACCGAAAGGAGCGCUGGACAUUACACAAGAGAGAAUGCUGGCAUAAGUAGCGAAAGGUGAGUGAGAAUCUCACCCGUCGAAAACCUAAGGUUUCCUGAGGAAGGCUCGUCCACUCAGGGUAAGUCGGGACCUAAGCCAAGGCUGAAAAGCGUAGGUGAUGGACAACAGGUUAUAAUUCCUGUACUGGAGGUAUUCGUUAACAGAGAAGUGGGGACGCAGGAGGAUAUGCAGAGCGUGCGGUUGGAAGAGCACGUCUAAGCACGUAGGGAGAGAAGACAGGCAAAUCCGUUUUCUUAAUAAUCCUGAGGUGUGAUGGGGAUCGAAAAACAAGUAGAGAAGCUGUAGACUCCACACUGCCAAGAAAAGCCACUAUCGAGAAUAUUUUCACCCGUACCGCAAACCGACACAGGUAGGUGAGGAGAGAAUCCUAAGACGAGCGGAAGAACCUUUGUUAAGGAACUCGGCAAAAUAGCCCCGUAACUUCGGGAGAAGGGGUGCCAUUUGGAGUGGAUAUCAUACGAUAUAUAAGCUUCGGGUGGCCGCAGUGAAAAGGCCCAAGCGACUGUUUACCAAAAACACAACUCUCUGCUAAGUCGAAAGACGAAGUAUAGGGGGUGACACCUGCCCGGUGCUGGAAGGUUAAGGGGAAUGCUUAGAGGAAACUCGAAGGUGUGAACUUAAGCCCCAGUAAACGGCGGCCGUAACUAUAACGGUCCUAAGGUAGCGAAAUUCCUUGUCGGGUAAGUUCCGACCCGCACGAAAGGUGUAACGAUUUGGGCACUGUCUCAACAAAGGAUCCGGUGAAAUUGUAGUACUCGUGAAGAUGCGAGUUACCCGCGACAGGACGGAAAGACCCCGUGGAGCUUUACUGCAGGCUGACAUUGGAUUUUGGCAUUGCAUGUACAGGAUAGGUGGGAGGCAUAGAAGCAAGUGCGCCAGUAUUUGUGGAGCCGCCCUUGGGAUACCACUCUUGUGAUGCUGAAAUUCUAACCUGGCACCGUGAAUCCGGUGUGGGGACACUGUCAGUUGGGCAGUUUGACUGGGGCGGUCGCCUCCUAAAAAGUAACGGAGGCGCUCAAAGGUUUCCUCAGCACGGUCGGAAAUCGUGCGAAGAGUGUAAAGGCAGAAGGAAGCUUGACUGCGACACCAACAAGUGGAGCAGGAACGAAAGUUGGACUUAGUGAUCCGGUGGUACCGCGUGGAAGGGCCAUCGCUCAACGGAUAAAAGCUACCCCGGGGAUAACAGGCUUAU
rnacentral:rRNA from 1 species